GUCCCCGUGGCCUAAUGGCUAAGGCGCAAGACUUCUAUCUGGUUAACACCUAAUAUGAUAUCUUGAGAUUGCGAGUUCGAUCCUCGCCGGGGAUU